UACGUAGGGGGCUAGCGUUGUCCGGAAUCAUUGGGCGUAAAGCGCGCGUAGGCGGCCCGGUAAGUCCACUGUGAAAGUCAAAGGCUCAACCUUUGAAUGUCAGCGGAUACUGCCAGGCUAGAGUCCGGAAGAGGCGAGUGGAACUCCUGGUGUAGCGGUGGAAUGCGCAGAUAUCAGGAAGAACACCAACGGCGAAGGCAGCUCGCUGGGACGGAACUGACGCUAAGGCGCGAAAGCGUGGGGAGCGAACAGG
rnacentral:rRNA from 1 species